rnacentral:sRNA from 1 species
UACUAGUGGGAUACUACACUUUGAUAUAC